rfam:Coprinopsis cinerea okayama7#130 chromosome 4 cont3.4, whole genome shotgun sequence.
GGCUACCUGGCGCAAUGGUAGCGCGUUUGGCUUCGAUGGCUUUACGGCUCCAAUGGACACCAAAAGGUUACAGGUUCGAUCCCUGUGGUGGUCA